GAACCCCGGUGUAACUGGCGACGAGGUGGAUGAAACCACGGUGGAGCAUCGGGUCAUACGGCCGGUCGCCUGGGCAAAGAGC
rnacentral:ncRNA from 1 species